GCCCCCGUAGCUCAACUGGAAAGAGCGGAGGGUUUCUACCCCUCAGGUUGCGGGUUCGAGUCCUGUCGGGGGUG
rnacentral:tRNA from 1 species